GGACUAAUGCCCUCUUGGUUGGGCUGACAGCUGUUAACUGUCAUCGUGUGGGAUCGAGGCCCGCUGGUCCAG
rnacentral:tRNA from 1 species